rnacentral:lncRNA from 1 species
UUUUUUUCCACGUGCCUUUUUAAAAGUUAUUACCAAAAUAGGCAUGGUGAUUUUUUGUAUUUUUAUUUGGUAAGUCUUAUCAAAUACAUACCUCUUUUUAAUUUGGAAUGAGAACAAAUGGAGGGGCAACAAAUUAAAACAGAAUUCUCCUCUUAACUUUCAAAAUUACCUUAAAUUGAGCAGAAAUUUUAAAAAUGCACAGGCCUAUCAAACAUGUUUUAAUCAGAUGGGUAAAAAAAAGCCUUGUCGUUCCAUUUAAAUGCACUAUGAGGGUACGACAAAUAGAAAGACUUGAAUACCUGGUGAAUAACAUCAAGUAUUUGAUAGCACAACAGGGUGACUACAGUCAAUAAUAAUUUUUUUUGUUUUGUUUUUUGAGACUGAGUCUCACUCUAUCACCCAGGCUGGAGUGCAGUGGUGCAGUUAUCAGCUCACUGCAACCUCCACCUCCCAGUUUCAAGCGAUUCUCGGGCCUCAGCCUCCCGAGUAGCUGUGAUUACAGGCGCCUGCCACCACGCCCGGCUAAUUUUUGCUAUUUUUAGUAGAGACGGGGUUUCACCAUGUUGGCCAGGCUGGUCUUGAACUCUUGACCUCAAGUGAUC